rnacentral:rRNA from 1 species
CCUACGGGAGGCAGCAGUGAGGAAUAUUGGUCAAUGGGCGUAAGCCUGAACCAGCCAAGUCGCGUGAGGGAUGAAGGUUCUAUGGAUCGUAAACCUCUUUUAUAAGGGAAUAAAGUGCGGGACGUUUCCCGUUUUGUAUGUACCUUAUGAAUAAGGAUCGGCUAACUCCGUGCCAGCAGCCGCGGUAAUACGGAGGAUACGAGCGUUAUCCGGAUUUAUUGGGUUUAAAGGGUGGGUAGGCGGACUGUUAAGUCAGCGGUAAAAGCCCGGGGCUCAACCCAGGCGAGCCGUUGAAACUGGCUGUCUUGAGAGGUCGAGAGUGAUGCGGAAUGCGCAGUGUAGCGGUGAAAUGCUUAGAUAUUUCGCAGAACUCCGAUUGCGAAGGCAGCAUACCGGCGGCGAUCUGACGCUGAGGCACGAAAGCGUGGGUAUCGAACAGGAUUAGAUACCCGGGUAGUC